ACGUAGGGAGCGAGCGUUGUCCGGAAUUACUGGGUGUAAAGGGAGCGUAGGCGGGAUUGCAAGUUGAAUGUGAAAUCUAUGGGCUUAACCCAUAAACUGCGUUCAAAACUGCAGUUCUUGAGUGAAGUAGAGGCAGGCGGAAUUCCUAGUGUAGCGGUGAAAUGCGUAGAUAUUAGGAGGAACACCAGUGGCGAAGGCGGCCUGCUGGGCUUUAACUGACGCUGAGGCUCGAAAGCGUGGGUAGCAAACAG
rnacentral:rRNA from 1 species